rnacentral:rRNA from 1 species
UGGCUCAGAUUGAACGCUGGCGGCAGGCCUAACACAUGCAAGUCGAGCGGUAACAGAGAGGUGCUUGCACCUUUGCUGACGAGCGGCGGACGGGUGAGUAAUGCUUGGGAACAUGCCUUGAGGUGGGGGACAACAGUUGGAAACGACUGCUAAUACCGCAUAAUGUCUACGGACCAAAGGGGGCUUCGGCUCUCGCCUUUAGAUUGGCCCAAGUGGGAUUAGCUAGUUGGUGAGGUAAUGGCUCACCAAGGCGACGAUCCCUAGCUGGUUUGAGAGGAUGAUCAGCCACACUGGGACUGAGACACGGCCCAGACUCCUACGGGAGGCAGCAGUGGGGAAUAUUGCACAAUGGGCGCAAGCCUGAUGCAGCCAUGCCGCGUGUGUGAAGAAGGCCUUCGGGUUGUAAAGCACUUUCAGUCAGGAGGAAAGGUUAGUAGUUAAUACCUGCUAGCUGUGACGUUCC